rnacentral:rRNA from 1 species
ACAUGGCUCAGGACGAACGCUGGCGGCGUGCCUAAUACAUGCAAGUCGAACGAACUCUGGUAUUGAUUGGUGCUUGCAUCAUGAUUUACAUUUGAGUGAGUGGCGAACUGGUGAGUAACACGUGGGAAACCUGCCCAGAAGCGGGGGAUAACACCUGGAAACAGAUGCUAAUACCGCAUAACAACUUGGACCGCAUGGUCCGAGCUUGAAAGAUGGCUUCGGCUAUCACUUUUGGAUGGUCCCGCGGCGUAUUAGCUAGAUGGUGGGGUAACGGCUCACCAUGGCAAUGAUACGUAGCCGACCUGAGAGGGUAAUCGGCCACAUUGGGACUGAGACACGGCCCAAACUCCUACGGGAGGCAGCAGUAGGGAAUCUUCCACAAUGGACGAAAGUCUGAUGGAGCAACGCCGCGUGAGUGAAGAAGGGUUUCGGCUCGUAAAACUCUGUUGUUAAAGAAGAACAUAUCUGAGAGUAACUGUUCAGGUAUUGACGGUAUUUAACCAGAAAGCCACGGCUAACUACGUGCCAGCAGCCGCGGUAAUACGUAGGUGGCAAGCGUUGUCCGGAUUUAUUGGGCGUAAAGCGAGCGCAGGCGGUUUUUUAAGUCUGAUGUGAAAGCCUUCGGCUCAACCGAAGAAGUGCAUCGGAAACUGGGAAACUUGAGUGCAGAAGAGGACAGUGGAACUCCAUGUGUAGCGGUGAAAUGCGUAGAUAUAUGGAAGAACACCAGUGGCGAAGGCGGCUGUCUGGUCUGUAACUGACGCUGAGGCUCGAAAGUAUGGGUAGCAAACAGGAUUAGAUACCCUGGUAGUCCAUACCGUAAACGAUGAAUGCUAAGUGUUGGAGGGUUUCCGCCCUUCAGUGCUGCAGCUAACGCAUUAAGCAUUCCGCCUGGGGAGUACGGCCGCAAGGCUGAAACUCAAAGGAAUUGACGGGGGCCCGCACAAGCGGUGGAGCAUGUGGUUUAAUUCGAAGCUACGCGAAGAACCUUACCAGGUCUUGACAUACUAUGCAAAUCUAAGAGAUUAGACGUUCCCUUCGGGGACAUGGAUACAGGUGGUGCAUGGUUGUCGUCAGCUCGUGUCGUGAGAUGUUGGGUUAAGUCCCGCAACGAGCGCAACCCUUAUUAUCAGUUGCCAGCAUUAAGUUGGGCACUCUGGUGAGACUGCCGGUGACAAACCGGAGGAAGGUGGGGAUGACGUCAAAUCAUCAUGCCCCUUAUGACCUGGGCUACACACGUGCUACAAUGGAUGGUACAACGAGUUGCGAACUCGCGAGAGUAAGCUAAUCUCUUAAAGCCAUUCUCAGUUCGGAUUGUAGGCUGCAACUCGCCUACAUGAAGUCGGAAUCGCUAGUAAUCGCGGAUCAGCAUGCCGCGGUGAAUACGUUCCCGGGCCUUGUACACACCGCCCGUCACACCAUGAGAGUUUGUAACACCCAAAGUCGGUGGGGUAACCUUUUAGGACCAGCCGCCUAAGUGGGACAGAUGAUUAGGUG